rnacentral:rRNA from 1 species
UACGGGGGGGGCAAGCGUUGUUCGGAAUUACUGGGCGUAAAGGGCUCGUAGGUGGCCAACUAAGUCAGACGUGAAAUCCCUCGGCUUAACCGGGGAACUGCGUCUGAUACUGGACGGCUUGAGUUUGGGAGAGGGACGCGGAAUUCCAGGUGUAGCGGUGAAAUGCGUAGAUAUUGGGAAGAACACCGAUGGCGAAGGCAGCCAUCUGGACCGACACUGACGCUGAGGCGCGAAAGCGUGGGGAGCAAACAGG